UAUGGUGACUAUAGCGUGGGUGUCCACCUCUUCCCAUUCCGAACAGAGAAGUUAAGCCCCACUGCGCUGAUGGUACUGGAUUUUUUCUGGGAGAGUAGGUCGUCGCCAACU
rnacentral:rRNA from 1 species